rnacentral:lncRNA from 1 species
AUGUGGGUCAUCUGGCUCUGGAGCUCAUGUUGUAAACUGCAGUGCUUGCCUGCCUCUCUCAGGACACCAGAAGUCCCACUCUUGAUGAGCCUGGCUGAUGGGUCCCGGAUCUUCACUGGAACUUCCCAGGCACCACCACAACCAUUUCGGGCUAGAAGGGGAACGUCCCAUCACUUAGCCGUACUUGAUACAACUGUCCCCACUGUUGUCACUGGCAACUGGAUCAGCCUCUUCCUGCUGAUGGAGCGUCAUUAUCUGGCCCUGCUGCCAUGGAGACCCAAAGGAAUCAGGUGAAGAGGACCCCGGAAGUCAAGUUUUUGAUUUGGAAGGAUGGGGUAUUCUUAAUUAAUGGCCCUACAUUUUCACGGGACUCAUCAUCUGAAAAAGAAAGUAAGUGGAAAAUCAUAGCCCCAUUUCUCAGGCUUGAAAAAUGUGUAGUGACAAGAGGACAAGAGAUGAAGGUUUUUAAAGCAAUAAAUGUCAUUUUGUUUCUCUUCUGAAUUUGUUG